AAAGGAAGAAGAUGCUAAAUGUCACCCAUACUUUGCCAAGGGACAGUGAAAAUGGCACAGCAACCCUGCAGAACUGUUUGGCAGUUUAUUUUGAAAUAAGCAUGCAGACAAGUGCUAAUGAGCCACACUUGUAAUCCUAGUUACUCAGGAGACUGAGAUCUGAUGAUUACAGCUCAAAGCUGGCCUGAAUGGGAAAACCCUCUAAGAUUCUUACAUCCAAUUAACCAGCAAAAGGCUGGAAAUAGAGCACCUGUGGCUCAGAGUGGUAG